CUGAUUUAAUUAAAUGGCCGCAGUAUUCUAACUGUGCAAAGGUAGCAUAAUCAUUAGUUUUUUAAUUGAAAGCUUGUAUGAAUGAUUGGACGAGAUAUUAGCUGUCUCAUAUAAAUAAAUUGAAUUUUAUUUUUUAGUCAAAAAGCUAAAAUAAUUUUAAAAGACGAGAAGACCCUAUAGAUCUUUAUAAUUUUAUUUUUAAUAUUUUUUUAGUUUAAUUAUUAUAUUAAAAAUUAAAUUAUUUUGUUGGGGUGACAGUGAAAUUUAUUUAACUUUUAUUAUUUAAAACCAUAAAUUAAUGAAUUAUUGAUCCUUUACUAUAGAUUAAAAAUUUAAGUUACCUUAGGGAUAACAGCGUAAUUAUUUUGGAGAGUUCUUAUCAAUAAAAUAGGUUGCGACCUCGAUGUUGGAUUAAGAUUAAUUUUUGGUGCAGAAGCUAAAAAUAUUAAGUCUGUUCGACUUUUA
rnacentral:rRNA from 1 species